GACGAACGCUGGCGGCGUGCUUAACACAUGCAAGUCGAACGAUGAAGCGGUGCUUGCUCCGUGGAUUAGUGGCGAACGGUUGAGUAAUACGUUAGUGACCUACCUUUGACUCUGGGAUAAGCCCUGGUAACUGGGUCUAAUACCGGAUACGACCAUUCUCUGCAUGGGGUGUUGGUGCAAAGCGUUAUUGAGUGGUUUUGGAUGGGCUCACGGCCUAUUAGCUUGUUGGUAGGGUCAUGGCUUACCAAGGCGCCGACCGGUAGCUGGCCGGAGAGGAUGAUCAGCCGGACUGGGACUGCGACACGGCCCAGACUGCUACGGGAGGGAGCAGUGGGGAAUAUUGGGCGAGGGGCGAAAGCCUGGUCCAGCAAUGCCGGGGGAGUGAUGUAGGGGUUAGGGUUGUAAAGCUCGUUUAGACGGGAUGAUAGUGACAGUACCGGGAGAAAAAGCGCCGGCUAACUCCGUG
rnacentral:rRNA from 1 species